UACGUAGGGGGCAAGCGUUGUCCGGAUUUACUGGGCGUAAAGAGCGUGUAGGCGGCCAGGCAGGUCUGUUGUGAAAACUGGAGGCUUAACCUCCAGACGUCGACAGAAACCGCUUGGCUAGAGUCCGGAAGAGGAGAGUGGAAUUCCUGGUGUAGCGGUGAAAUGCGCAGAUAUCAGGAAGAACACCAAUGGCGAAGGCAGCUCUCUGGGACGGUACUGACGCUGAGACGCGAAAGCGUGGGGAGCGAACAGG
rnacentral:rRNA from 1 species